CUGGCUCAGGAUGAACGCUAGCGACAGGCCUAACACAUGCAAGUCGAGGGGCAUCGGGGCGAGGAGCAAUCCUUGCCGCCGGCGACCGGCGCACGGGUGAGUAACGCGUAUGCGACCUGCCCGUUGCAGGGGGAUAAUCGGGAGAAAUCCCGUCUAAUACCGCGUAAUGCCGCGGGGCUGCAUGGCCCUGCGGCCAAAGGAAGCGAUUCCGGCAACGGAUGGGCAUGCGUGACAUUAGCUAGUUGGCGGGGCAACGGCCCACCAAGGCGACGAUGUCUAGGGGUUCUGAGAGGAAGGUCCCCCACACUGGUACUGAAACACGGACCAGACUCCUACGGGAGGCAGCAGUGAGGAAUAUUGGUCAAUGGGCGCGAGCCUGAACCAGCCAAGUCGCGUGAGGGAUGACGGCCCUACGGGUUGUAAACCUCUUUUGUCGGGGAGCAAAUUCCGCCACGUGUGGCGGAGUCGAGAGUACCCGAAGAAAAAGCAUCGGCUAACUCCGUGCCAGCAGCCGCGGUAAUACGGAGGAUGCGAGCGUUAUCCGGAUUUAUUGGGUUUAAAGGGUGCGUAGGCGGACUGUCAAGUCAGCGGUAAAAUACGGGGGCUCAACCUCCGCCCGCCGUUGAAACUGACGGUCUUGAGUGGGCGAGAAGUAUGCGGAAUGCGUGGUGUAGCGGUGAAAUGCAUAGAUAUCACGCAGAACUCCGAUUGCGAAGGCAGCAUACCGGCGCCCAACUGACGCUGAAGCACGAAAGCGUGGGUAUCGAACAGGAUUAGAUACCCUGGUAGUCCACGCAGUAAACGAUGAAUACUAGCUGUCCGGGGCGAAUGAGCCCUGGGUGGCACAGCGAAAGCGUUAAGUAUUCCACCUGGGGAGUACGCCGGCAACGGUGAAACUCAAAGGAAUUGACGGGGGCCCGCACAAGCGGAGGAACAUGUGGUUUAAUUCGAUGAUACGCGAGGAACCUUACCCGGGCUCAAACGACACAGGAACGUACCUGAAAGGGUUCGGCUCUACGGAGCCUGUGUCGAGGUGCUGCAUGGUUGUCGUCAGCUCGUGCCGUGAGGUGUCGGCUUAAGUGCCAUAACGAGCGCAACCCCCAUCGACGGUUGCUAACAGGUCAGGCUGAGGACUCUGUCGAGACUGCCGGCGCAAGCUGCGAGGAAGGCGGGGAUGACGUUAAAUCAGCACGGCCCUUACGUCCGGGGCGACACACGUGUUACAAUGGCAGGUACAGCGGGAAGCCACCUGGCGACAGGGAGCGGAACCCGAAAGCCUGUCUCAGUUCGGAUUGGAGUCUGCAACCCGACUCCAUGAAGCUGGAUUCGCUAGUAAUCGCGCAUCAGCCACGGCGCGGUGAAUACGUUCCCGGGCCUUGUACACACCGCCCGUCAAGCCAUGGAAGCCGGGGGUGCCUGAAGUGCGCUGCCGCGAGGAGCGCCCUAGGGUAAAACC
rnacentral:rRNA from 1 species